CUCUCAACCCCCCCAAAAAAAAAAAUAAUAUUUUUUAUUUUUGAAAGAUCGUCAAAUAAAUUAUUGGAUAUGAACAAUUUUCCCAUGAUGACUUACGUCAUAAUGUCAAGCACUCGAAUAGUCAAGCGCGCUGUCCUCUGACAGCUCUUGUUAUAUGCUGUAAUAAUUAUUUAAUAUGGCUUAUAAGUAUGUAAAAUAAUUUGUUUAUUAUGUUUGUUAUAGCUUUCUUUUCUUUUCCAAAUUUGAUUUUGUGUUGGUUUUGCAAGGUGUUGGGGUUAAAACAUUUACAUACAUUUUUGUUAACAUAAUGUAGAAAUGCAAAUAGUCUCUUUUACCUUAUUUUAUGGGUGAAUAGCAGAUAAUUAAAACAAACUUGUUUUCCAAACCCUGCUAAAGUUAGUGAAUUAAACAAUACCAUAUGAAGUUAUAAAAAUAUUUAAUCUUUUUAGUUACAUGGAAAUAUUUCUAUGUUUUUCUUGUUUUUAUAUAUAGCUUAUUUCGACUCACAGUCUGAUUUCAACUGUUACAAGUAAACAUGUUUUAAAAUAAUCUUUCACUGCCAUACUAAAUACUAAUUGUCACCUGAUUGCAGAUUGGCAUGUUUAAUUUGACAAUGUCAAGAUAUAAGAAGUAUGGAUACACCAAGGGGUAGGACAAAAAGAAGUUUUCUUGUCAUUAUUCAAACAAAGAAUUAAGGAUUGUUUUUAUCAAAAUAUGAAUUCACGAUUAACGGAAUCCAGUCGAGCCUUGUUUUACAGGCAUCUUAACAUAAACAGUGAGUUAAAAAUGUACCUUACAAGCAUCUCAAAUGAAAACCAUCGCAUUGCUCUUUCUAAACUCAGAGUAUCAUCUCAUCGUUUAAUAAUUGAAUCUGGCCGCUGGCAUAAACCCAUUGCUACUCCUUAUAACGAAAGAAAAUGUACACAUUGUCAAAAAAUUGAUGAUGAAUAUCAUUUUAUUUUAGAAUGUUCUUUAUUAAAUGACUUAAGAAAGAAAUAUAUUGAUAAAAAGUAUUGGUUACGACCUAACAUGCAAAAAUGUAUUGCACUUAUAAAUUCACAAAAUGCACUAACAUUAAGAAAACUAGCUUCUUUUACAUUUCUUGGUUUUAAAUUUAAGAAUUAACACCAUAAUCUUUUAUAUAAGUAAUGUCAUUCAUUAAAUGAAAUCUCCUAUACAUGUAUAGCAUGACAUAUUUCAUUACGAAUUGUUUAACUUAACAUUAAAUUAAAGCUCCUAUUCCUGUAUAGCUUGACAUAUUUCAUUACGAAUUGUUUAACUUAACAUUAAAUUAAAGCUCCUAUUCCUGUUAGCUUGACAUAUUUCAUUACGAAUUGUUUAACUUAACAUUAAACUAAAGCUCCUAUACAUGUAUAGCUUGACAUAUUUCAUUACGAAUUGUUUAACUUAACAUUAAAUUAAAGCUCCUAUUCCUGUUAGCUUGACAUAUUUCAUUACGAAUUGUUUAACUUAACAUUAAACUAAAGCUUCUAUACACGUAUAGCUUGACAUAUUUCAUUACGAAUUGUUUAACUUAACAUUAAACUAAAGCUCCCAUACAUGUAUAGCUUGACAUAUUUCAUUACGAAUUGUUUAACUUAACAUUAAACUAAAGCUCCCAUACAUGUAUAGCUUGACAUAUUUCAUUACGAAUUGUUAUCCCCACGCUUUUUGAAAAAAAGGUGGGGAUAUUGUGGUGAUCUCCGCCGUCCGUCCGUCCGUCUGUCCGUCCGUCUGUCCGUCCGUCUGUCCGUCCGUCCUGGCCACUAUCUCCUCCUACACUAAAAGCACUAGAACCUUGAAAUUUACACACAUGGUAGCUAUGAGCAUAUGUGCGACGGUGCACUAUUUGGAAUUUUGAUCUGACCCCUGGGUCAAAAGUUAUAGGGGUUGGGGUGGGGCCGCGUCAGAAAUUAUCACUCAUUUUUUUAGGUUAUUUUACAUUUACUUCUUUAUUUCUACACCGAUUCACUUCAAAUUGAUACUGGACCUCACCUAUGACAAUACGGUCAAUCUCAACCAUGCAUG